AUACUUGGUGGCGAUGAGGCUCGCCGUAAGUGUCGGUAUGACUAAUAGCCUCUACUUGAAC
rnacentral:ncRNA from 1 species